rnacentral:rRNA from 1 species
UGAGGAAUAUUGGUCAAUGGGCGAGAGCCUGAACCAGCCAAGUAGCGUGCAGGAUGACGGCCCUAUGGGUGGUAAACUGCUUUUGUAUGGGGAUAAAGUCAAUCACGUGUGAUUGUUUGCAGGUACCAUACGAAUAAGGACCGGCUAAUUCCGUGCCAGCAGCCGCGNUAAUACGGAAGGCCCGGGCGUUAUCCGGAUUUAUUGGGUUUAAAGGGAGCGUAGGNGGGAGAUUAAGUGUGUUGUGAAAUGUAGACGCUCAACGUCUGACUUGCAGCGNAAACGGGUUUCUUUGAGUACGCACAACGUUGGCGGAAUUCGUCGUGUAGCGGUGAAAUGCUUAGAUAUGACGAAGAACUCCGAUUGCGAAGGAGCUGACGGGAGCGCAACUGACGCUGAAGCUCGAGGGUGCGGGUGUCGAACAGGAUUAGAUACCCUGGUAGUCCCGCNCAGUAAACNAUGNAUGCCCGCUGUUGNANCCUGGNNAUCAGCGGCUAAGCGAAAGCAUUANGCAUCCCCACCUGGGGAGUANGCCGGCAACNGUG